rnacentral:ncRNA from 1 species
ACUCUGGAGAGUUCUGCAUAAGACGCCGAAGGGGCAAGCCCGCACAAGGGUGAAUCUCUCAGGCAAAAGGACAGAGGAU